ACUCCUACGGGAGGCAGCAGUGGGAAUAUUGGACAAUGGGCGCAAGCCUGAUCCAGCCAUGCCGCGUGAGUGAUGACGGCCUUAGGGUUGUAAAGCUCUUUCAGUGGUGAAGAUAAUGACGGUAACCACAGAAGAAGCCCCCGGCUAACUCCGUGCCAGCAGCCGCGGUAAUACGGAGGGGCGUAGCGUUGUUCGGAAUUACUGGGCGUAAAGCGCGCGUAGCGGAUCUUUAAAGUCAGGGUGAAAUCCUGGGGCUCAACCUCAGAACUGCCCUUGAUACUGAAGAUCUUGAGUCCGGAAGAGGUUAGUGGAAUUCCCAGUGUAGAGGUGAAAUUCGUAGAUAUUGGGAAGAACACCAGU
rnacentral:rRNA from 1 species